rnacentral:lncRNA from 1 species
ACUAGAUCCUUGCUUGACUUGAGAGGUAUGAGGUUGGAACGGCUGUAGCCAUCUCCAUCUAUUGAGGGAACACGGGUUUGAGAACACAGUCAAGUCAGGACGAGAACAAGAGACGCUGGAUCUUGAGGACAGUGCUUGAGCCCUCGAAUCAAUCAAUGUCUAAACUAAUGGAGGGUCGAUGAAGACAUUUGGCCAGAGGACCCUGAAACACCUGAAUCCCACCUUUGGCUGGCUAGCCCCAUUUCUCAGCAGUGCCUUCACAGGAGCGGUAAGUAGCACUUUAUUUUUAGAGAGAGCUUUGGUGAAAAACCAUAAUGCAAACUUGAGCAAGAGUGGACCUCAUGCUUCUUGCCUGUCAUGGUUCAAGCCCAAUUCUCAGGUAUUACCUGUUCGACUUUCUAGUUUCAUGUUCUCUGCCUCUGGCUGAUGUGUAUUGGCUCAGGUUUUUUGUGGUUUGGUUUUGAUUCUUGGUUUUCAACUAUAUCAGAGAAAAAAGCGAAAGUAUUUUGUCACCUUUGCCUAGAAUAUUUGCCGAAUGGUGGCUGCCCAAGUCCUUUCAAAUUGAGUGAAGAAAUCUGAGCCUGCUUCCAGGUGGGAGGAGGACUGUGUUUC